rnacentral:tRNA from 1 species
GGGUGGUAUAGCUCAGUGGUAGAGCAUUCGACUGCAGAUCGAAAUGUCCCCGGUUCAACCCCGGAUGCCCCCU